CCUUUUCUUUGUUUUUUUCUAUCUUUUCUUUUUCUUUGCUUUAUGGUUUCAAGGGUGAUUUCUUUUUCUUGUUUCUUUUCAUAUUUUCACCCUUUCAUAAAAGCUCAUUUUUCCAAGUUUCUAAUCAAAUCUUUUUACUUUACUCUCCCCAACUUUAGAUUCCAAAACCAAAUUUAUUCAAUAAUGCUCCCUACUUAGACAUAAGCAAAAGGCAAAAUUUGCAAACAACUCGGCUUGAGGGUUCA
rnacentral:lncRNA from 1 species